rnacentral:rRNA from 1 species
UACGAAGGGGGCUAGCGUUGCUCGGAAUUACUGGGCGUAAAGCGCACGUAGGCGGCGAUUCAAGUCAGAGGUGAAAGCCCGGGGCUCAACCCCGGAACUGCCUUUGAAACUAGAUUGCUAGAAUCUUGGAGAGGCGAGUGGAAUUCCGAGUGUAGAGGUGAAAUUCGUAGAUAUUCGGAAGAACACCAGUGGCGAAGGCGACUCGCUGGACAAGUAUUGACGCUGAGGUGCGAAAGCGUGGGGAGCAAACAGG